GAUGAACGCUAGCGGCAGGCCUAACACAUGCAAGUCGAGGGGUAGAAGCUUUCGGGCUUUGAGACCGGCGCACGGGUGCGUAACGCGUAUGCAAUCUGCCUUGUACUGAGGGAUAGCCCAGAGAAAUUUGGAUUAACACCUCAUAGUAUUUUUGCCUGGCAUCAGGUGAUUAUUAAAGGUUACGGUAUAAGAUGAGCAUGCGUCCCAUUAGUUAGUUGGUAAGGUAACGGCUUACCAAGACGAUGAUGGGUAGGGGUCCUGAGAGGGAGAUCCCCCACACUGGUACUGAGACACGGACCAGACUCCUACGGGAGGCAGCAGUGAGGAAUAUUGGUCAAUGGUCGCAAGACUGAACCAGCCAUGCCGCGUGCAGGAAGACGGUCCUAUGGAUUGUAAACUGCUUUUAUACAGGAAGAAACCCUCCCACGUGUGGGAGCUUGACGGUACUGUAGGAAUAAGGAUCGGCUAACUCCGUGCCAGCAGCCGCCGUAACAC
rnacentral:rRNA from 1 species